rnacentral:lncRNA from 1 species
ACCCUGACAAUCCCUAAAGGGUUUGUAAUUGCUUUAUGGUUGUGGAAAUGCGGUAGGCCUGGAACCUAUCAAUAACUGCAUUGGGAAUAACUUUUGCCUUCCCUGGCAGGACAACCCCCAAGAAAUUGGCAGACAAUCCAGGUCCUUGCAACUUGUUGCUAUUGAUAGACAGACCACAUGUUGCCAGAUGGACUAGCAAUUUCAGCACAGCAUCCACUAAAUCUGCAAAGGAACCACUGGUAACAAAUGAUCCCCAAUUAUAGUGGAAUAGACACACAGGGGAUGGCUUUGGCCAUGGCCAAGUCAGAGGCUCCUGGACCAAGGUACAUAGAUGGUCUAUGCAAAUAUCCCCGAGGCAGCAAGGGAAUGGUGCACUGCCACCCAUCCCACAUGAAAGAAAAUUGGUCUUGGCCACCAACAGCGAUAUCUGUGGGAGAGAAGGCAUUAGCUAAAUCAAAAUGGAUGCCCAUAAGUCGUCAGUCAAUACGUCCCUCAGGUCAGCCACUCAAGGAAAGGCAGCCUGACCUGGGGGAGCCACUUUACUAAGCCCACAAUAGUCCACAGUUGUUCCCCAGGAUCUAUCCGGUUUCUUCACUGUCCACACUGGGGAGCUGAAGGAACUACGGGCCAGUGGCACUGUGCCCGCCCUUCCAGCUCUGCCACGGCCACAGUCUCUCUCCAUGCCUUGCAAGUUGACAUUGCUUGUUGUUGGCGAUGUGUCUGGUGGUGGCAGUGAAGCACCAGGGAUCCCCCACGCCCCCACCACUGCCGUUAGUUACAGCACAGACACACAGCGAAGCCCUCCUCCAUAAGCCUUGGAGGAUGUCCACCUGGCUUGCACUUUAUUUAC